CGAAAAUUCAGCUUCCUGUUCCAAGGGCAUGAGGACUUGCGGUCCCCGCGUUAAAAAGGACAAGGUCACCUACAGAACUAAGCCAAUCUCAGUGUGAGCUCUGGUUGAACGACAAGAACCUAACAAAAUUAGCAUCGAAUUUCAAUGUGAAGAUGACGAUCCACACACCGAAAGGCUGAAUUUCGACUAUACCAGCCAGAAUAUAGCAUGAGCUUAAAGUAUGGCAACUUUGUAUGAACUUUGAACUCUUAUUCACUAAAGAAGUGAUACCUCCUAGCCGUUGCAUUAGCGCAGCAACUGUAGACGUGGGCUAGGAGAGGACGGACAGAGUACCCAUUCUACCAUGCUCCAGUUCACCACUAGACAUUCUUCAGAGGACCAGAGAUCCAUGCUGGACCACCCCGCCUUCUAUCUACGACCAAUCUACCGAAGCGCAGCUCAGAUGCUGGGGCCCAGAGUGACACAGUCUGUUCCAACCUCAUCCACGGAGUGACACAGAUAUGGGUGUUUUCAGUUCCAUGAUCAAUCCUCAAUCUAUGGGGGCAUCGUUACUGUCACCACACAACAUCCUUGAAAUACCCAGCGAUGAUCCAAGGGUCAUUGUUUGUCUUGCAGGCUUCUAAGCAAUAUCAUUUUAUGCGAAAACCCUUCAAUGCAUCCACUGAUACUGUACAUAUUCUGUAAGGUUUUAACUUGUCGUAAACAUCCCCGUGCCAAACAUAAUUUGUGCCACGACCGUUAAAUACUCGCCUUCUUAGGCGGUUCCUUGCUCGCUGGUUGACACCGACGUUGACGGACAGUUUCCUUGUCGUUAACUAUUCCGGCCUUUCAACAAUUCUGGUGCAUCCAUGCCUGUAGAACAUUGUAGAACAAUAGACACGGGGGUCUUGAGAUGGAAUAAGACUGUAACGGUUGUCGUCGGGAAUGGAGGACCAAAAACGCAGCAGGAAUGUGGAUGCUCAUCUUGUAUUUAUUUUAAAAUCAAGUGAACACCAAAAUAACAAAAAACGAAGAACUCACGAACAACAAAGCAGUCUUGUCAGGCUCACACAUGCAAAACAAGAAACAACCACCCACCCUAAAGGUGCAGACCCCGGAUGCACCUCAUAAAUAAACACACAAAAAAAACAACAACAAACGAAAAUUCCCCCUAUACUAAAGGGAGGGAAGGGAGGGUCGCAGGCAGACCCCCUCGGUUCCGGGUCGCAGGCAGACCCCCUCGGUUCCGGGUCGCAGGCAGACCCCCUCGGUUCCGGGUCGCAGGCAGACCCCCUCGGUUCCGGGUCGCAGGCAGUCUCCCUCGGUUCCGGACUAGACACUGUUGCCGGAUACUCUGGACUGCACACUGGUGCCGGAUACUCUGGACUGCACACUGUUGCCGGAUACUCUGGACUGCACACUGUUGCCGGAUACUCUGGACUGCACACUGUUGCCGGAUACUCUGGACCGCACACUGUUGCCGGAUACUCUGGACUGCACACUAUUGCCGAA
rnacentral:lncRNA from 1 species